rnacentral:rRNA from 1 species
AGCGAACGCUGGCGGCAGGCCUAACACAUGCAAGUCGAACGAACCUUUCGGGGUUAGUGGCGGACGGGUGAGUAACACGUGGGAACGUGCCUUUAGGUUCGGAAUAACUCAGGGAAACUUGUGCUAAUACCGAAUGUGCCCUUCGGGGGCAAGAUUUAUCGCCUUUAGAGCGGCCCGCGUCUGUUUAGCUAGUUGGUUGAGGUAAUGGCUCACCAAGGCGACGAUCAGUAGCUGGUCUGAGAGGAUGAUCAGCCACAUUGGGACUGAGACACGGCGCAGACUCCUACGGGAGGCAGCAGUGGGGAAUCUAGCGCAAUGGGCGAAAGCCUGACGCAGCCAUGCCGCGUGAAUGAUGAAGGUCUUAGGAUUGUAAAAUUCUUUCACCGGGGACGAUAAUGACGGUACCCGGAGAAGAAGCCCCGGCUAACUUCGUG